AGAGCUGGUAAACGUGCUUUCUAGGUGUGUCUGUGAGGGCGUUUCUAGAAGCAGCUGGCACUUGAAUUAGUAUAGUAGACUGAUUAGAGAAGACUCACCCUCAUCAGUGUGGGUGAGCACCGUCCGAGCUGAGGACCUGAAAAGGACAAAAGUGUGGAAGAAUGUGCUUCUGUUUGAGCCGGGAUGGCCAUCUUCUCCUCCCCUCGGACAUUGGACUCAGACUAAUGAUACCAUGGCUGUCUUGUUUCUUCAUGCAGGCAACACACCAACAGAUCGUGGGACUGCCCAGCCUCCACAAUCACCCAGAACGUGGGGUGAUGUCUGGAGCUGUGGCAAUCCUCUUGCGACCAUGAAGGAAAGUCACAGAACUGCUGGCCUGAUGCCACUGGGCUGCUGAGGUAAUGCCAGCCACACCUACCUCCAGGAUUCCUGUUACGGGAGAAAAAUAAAUCCCUAUUGGUUCAAAUCA